rnacentral:rRNA from 1 species
AUAUCGAACACGAAGGUUAAGCCUACCUGCGCCGAUGAUACUUGGCUGGAGACGGCCUGGGAAAGUAGGUGACUGCCGGGU